rnacentral:rRNA from 1 species
GAUGAACGCUAGCGGCAGGCCUAAUACAUGCAAGUCGGACGGGAUUCAGGAGCUUGCUUCUGAUGAGAGUGGCGCACGGGUGCGUAACACGUAUGUAACCUACCUUUAUCAGGGGGAUAGCCUCUCGAAAGAGAGAUUAAGCCCGCAUAAAAUCACAGCACAGCAUUGUGUAAUGAUCAAAUAUUUAUAGGAUAAAGAUGGGCAUGCGGAACAUUAGCUAGAUGGCGGGGUAACGGCCCACCAUGGCGACGAUGUUUAGGGGAUCUGAGAGGAUGGCCCCCCACACUGGUACUGAGACACGGACCAGACUCCUACGGGAGGCAGCAGUAAGGAAUAUUGGUCAAUGGGCGGAAGCCUGAACCAGCCAUGCCGCGUGCAGGAAGACGGCCCUACGGGUUGUAAACUGCUUUUAUACGGGAAUAAACCCAGAUACGUGUAUCUGGCUGAAUGUACUGUAAGAAUAAGAAUCGGCUAACUCCGUG